UUUUCCAUUUUUUUGGUGGUUGCUUUCCAAGAAUUAAGACCACAGUCAGUUAAGACAUUAGAAAAUACAUUGCUGUGUUCAGCUUGCUUGCUGUAAUACAAACACCUGCCAGAGAAUAAACCAGUGAAAUUCUUGAAUGCCAGCCAGGCUUUUCAUGUCAAGCAGUUUAGAGGGCCAAGCACAUCCCUUUCCUAAAAAAAAUAAGUAAGGGUUCCUUAAAGAUCUUCAGAUACCUUAAAACAGGUUCCAGUUGUAGAAGAUAGUUCUUGACCUAAUCAAGUCUCCAGGAUAUUCCUAUGUGUGUACAUAAAUCAUGUUUCUGCGCAGAUGUUUUAAUGUCUAGUUUUGAUGUUGGUUUUAUCUCUUUUUGGAUGCUGUUUUGAUUCCAUGGAGAUAAAAAUGAUUAAAUAAACCAAAAGAUUAAAAAUUCAGAAGAGUGAAUUUGUAAUCUGUAAACAAAGUAUGUAAAACUGAAAUUGAGUAUUACCAGUCUCUCUCUCUAGUGAAACCUUCAUCUCAAAAUCCAGAUUUACAUUCAGAUUCUUUUAAAACUGUCUUACUUAUGUUAAGGGGGUCUUUAUCCCAGUAAGGGGUUUAUGCCCUUUGGCCAUAAGGAGGAAGAUUUCACCCCUUCACAUGUAAGUUUGACGAGUUUGUUAUUUCCCAGAACAGAUGAGAGCCUUGGGCCUGAUCUCUCCAGGUGCCCCACCAGACAGCACACUGUACCAGAGCCUGAAUUCAACAAUCCCGUUCAAGUACAUAGCAGCUGAUUCACCCACCAAGUUUAAAAAAAAAUUGAAGUUCUGUUUUUCCACAUUCCGUCUACAAGGCCAAAGCCUAUUGUGCUUUUUGAGUCUAUGGGAUGCAAGACAGUAUGUCAUUUUUGACAGGAUUAAUACAGCCUCUUCAAUUAUAAAUGAGGAAAUUAUGUAUUUCAUAAUGUGGUCAAAUCUGUUCAAGAGUCUUACACUGUAAAAAUACAUUAUCACUCUUUGCUCAGCAUCCCCACAGUUCUUCAGUUUCCCUACAUUCUCUAGCACUCAUUAAUGUUGUCUAUAAAAAACUAAAACAAACCACCAGCAUUUGUUGCAAUAAAGUAUUUUCAUUAA